rnacentral:lncRNA from 1 species
AUGGUAGCCGGGGCGGAGCUGGCGCGCGGCCUUAUAAGCCCCGCCCGGGGCGCUCGCGGAGGGCUCGGCCGCCAGCGACCGAGCGGGGCCCGGCCCGAGUGGGGCCUGGGGGUGCGACGCCGAGGGCGGGGGAGCGCGCGCCGCUGCUCCGGACCGGGCCGCGCGCGCCGCCUCAGGUCCUGCCCCCCAGAGAGACCCGUUCUUGGUGUCUACUGUCUGGCCAUCACUCUGUGUCCGGUAGAUGUCUUUCUAGUUCAUCAACUCCACGUUCCUGCGUUUUGUGUGAGUGGGUAUGAUUUUCUUACUGCUGCUUCUCUUUUGUUUUUUUUUUAUAAUUUUUUUUUGGUUGCAUCUCGAGGUAUGUGUGAUCUUAGCUCCCCAACCAGGGAUUGAGCCUGCGCCGCCUGCACGGGAAGCGCAGAGUCUUAGCCACUGGACCACCAGGGAAGUCCCACUGCUUCUCUUAACUUGCACUGAAAUUAUUUCUGUUUUUUCUCUCUAACACUCUAGUGAACACCUUGGCUGCUGUCUCCUUGAGGUAGACUUCCAUGAGCGUUGUUGCUCAGGCUCCUUUUCUGUUUUGAACAGUGUUUCUCUGUUGUCCCCAGAAAGCUGGUCCGCAUGGACACUUCUGCAACAGCUGGGGGCUCUCAUCAUCCUGGUGACAGCCCUAGCUUUUGCAGCCCCAGCUUUUGUCCCUCCUGACAAAAUGACAGAUUAGAAUCUGUCACUUCCUAGUCAAGAUGUUUUAGAGUUGUCAGUUCAUAGCCAUCCCCCACGUAUUAAAUUGGGGUAUUUGUUUUUUGACUGGUAACAGGAUGUUCAGCCUCAGCCUGUGGAUAUGUCUAAGCCGAACCCUUCUGUGGGGCUGCCCUGGGCCUGGGGGUCUGAGUAGCACCCCGACCCCCACCUCCGCCACACCAGGGGCCUCUUCCCAUCCCCCGCUGUGACAGCCACAGACGUCUCCGGAUGCCACCAGUGUGCCCUGGGGGACAGUCGCCUCUGGCUGAGAACCAGUGUUCUCUGACAACCCUUUCUAUAUUAGGGCUGUUAGCGUCUCUUGUGUUAUACACUUUUUGUCAGUUUCUCAUUUCUUGUCCAACUUUAUUUUUGAUGUGUUGUUACAUAGAAUAUUUUAAAGUUUAUUGCCAAAUUUGUCCUUUCCUUUAAAGCGCCUGGUCUUGUGACCAGCCCAGAGAGGUCCUCCAUUCCUUAAGAUUACCACAACAUUGGUCCACUUUUUUUCUCCUCCAUUUUUCCAGUUUUAGAAGGAUCCAGUCUGGAGGCACCAGGUGGGGCCUGAGCUGCCUAUUUUUCCAUGUGGCUCCUGGCUGGGCUGGUCUGUGCAGGCUGGUGAGGCUCCCUGUUGGGGCUGGGAUCUCGAGCUGGCUCCCCUGGUGCUGGCUGUGUGAUGCCAGCUGCCCUGUGCCUCAGCUUGCUCAUCUGUGAAGUGGGCAGUGACAUCAGUACCUGCUUUGGAGGAUCUUGGGGCUGCUUGGAUGUGCCUGGUGCUUAGAGCUGGCCUGCACCU